GACGAACGCUGGCGGCGUGCUUAACACAUGCAAGUCGAACGGUGAAGGAAGAGCUUGCUCUUCCGGAUCAGUGGCGAACGGGUGAGUAACACGUGGGCAACCUGCCCUGACUCUGGGAUAACUCCUCGAAAGAGGUGCUAAUACCGGAUACGACCACUUCGGACAUCCGAUGGUGGUGGAAAAGUUUUUCGGUCAGGGAUGGGCCCGCGGCCUAUCAGCUAGUUGGUGGGUAAUGGCCUACCAAGGCGACGACGGGUAGCCGGCCUGAGAGGGCGACCGGCCACACUGGGACUGAGACACGGCCCAGACUCCUACGGGAGCAGCAGUGGGGAAUAUUGCGCAAUGGGCGAAAGCCUGACGCAGCGACGCCGCGUGAGGGAUGAAGGCCUUCGGGUUGUAAACCUCUUUCAGCAGGGACGAAGCGAAAGUGACGGUACCUGCAGAAGAAGCACCGGCUAACUACGUGCCAGCAGCCGCGGUAAU
rnacentral:rRNA from 1 species